rnacentral:rRNA from 1 species
AUUGAACGCUGGCGGCAGGCCUAACACAUGCAAGUCGAGCGAGCGGCGGACGGGUGAGUCAUGUCUGGGAAACUGCCUGAUGGAGGGGGAUAACUAAUGGAACCGGUAGCUAAUACCGCAUACCAUCAGAUGUGCCCAGAUGGGAUUAGCUAGUAGGGGGGGUAAUGGCUCACCCAGGCGACGAUCCAUAGCUGGUCUGAGAGGAUGACCAGCCACACUGGACCUGAGCCCCGCUCCAGACUCCUACGGGAGGCAGCAGUGGGGAAUAUUGCACAAUGGGCGCAAGCCUGAUGCAGCCAUGCCGCGCGUGUAAAGAAGGCCUUCGGUGUGUAAAGCACUUUCAGCGAGGAGGCGUUACUCGCAGAAGAAGCACCGGCUAACUCCGUGCCAGCAGCCGCGGUAAUAC